CUGCUGCCUCCCGUAGGAGUUUGGGCCGUGUCUCAGUCCCAAUGUGGCCGUCCACCCUCUCAGGCCGGCUACUGAUCGUCGCUUUGGUAGGCCGUUACCCUGCCAACUGGCUAAUCAGACGCGGGUCCAUCGUAUACCACCGGAGUUUUUCACACUGCGCCAUGCGGCGCUGUGCGCUUAUGCGGUUUUAGCACCUAUUUCUAAGUGUUAUCCCCCUGUAUACGGCAGGUUACCCACGCGUUACUCACCCGUCCGCCAA
rnacentral:rRNA from 1 species